CCUACGGGGGGCAGCAGUGAGGAAUAUUGGUCAAUGGACGAGAGUCUGAACCAGCCAAGUAGCGUGAAGGAUGACUGCCCUAUGGGUUGUAAACUUCUUUUAUAUGGGAAUAAAACGUUCCACGUGUGGGAUUUUGUAUGUACCAUAUGAAUAAGGAUCGGCUAACUCCGUGCCAGCAGCCGCGGUAAUACGGAGGAUCCGAGCGUUAUCCGGAUUUAUUGGGUUUAAAGGGAGCGUAGGUGGAUUGUUAAGUCAGUUGUGAAAGUUUGCGGCUCAACCGUAAAAUUGCAGUUGAAACUGGCAGUCUUGAGUACAGUAGAGGUGGGCGGAAUUCGUGGUGUAGCGGUGAAAUGCUUAGAUAUCACGAAGAACUCCGAUUGCGAAGGCAGUUCACUGGACUGCAACUGACACUGAGGCUCGAAAGUGUGGGUAUCAAACAGGAUUAGAUACCCUGGUAUC
rnacentral:rRNA from 1 species